rnacentral:rRNA from 1 species
GACGAACCGUGCAAACGUUGUUCGGAAUCACUGGGCUUAAAGGGCGCGUAGGCGGCCAACCAAGUCAGUGGUGAAAUCCUGCAGCUUAACUGUAGAAGUGCCUUUGAUACUGGUUGGCUCGAGGGAGGUAGGGGUAUGUGGAACUUCUGGUGGAGCGGUGAAAUGCGUUGAUAUCAGAAGGAACGCCGGUGGCGAAAGCGACGUACUGGACCUCUUCUGACGCUGAGGCGCGAAAGCUAGGGUAGCGAACGGG